CCCCUCUGGCAAUGGGCAAAGAGAUACCUUGUUGGUGGUGGUAUUCUUAUAUCAGUCAGGGGUAGAGCAGAUGGCAUUCCUUUGUCCAUCUUAGAUUGAUGCUUGACUUGGUGACCAAAGCUAUCUUAUGCUUAGGAAAUAUAA